rnacentral:misc_RNA from 1 species
GAAAGGUGUUCAAAAUAGUAAUGAAUAUAGAUAGGGGCAAAACUUUCUGGUAACAAAAACAUUCAUCAAAAUUGACCUACUAAGGAAAAUAGCUUAAAUCCAUAGGGAGACCAAACAUCUAUAAACUAAAAAAAUAAAAAUAAAAAUUCUUUGCUCUUCAACAACAUCUUCCAAGCACUCUACUUCCUUCCUUGCUUGCCCUUGAAGUUCUUUUGGCCACUGAAGUUCUUGUUGUUAGAUUUGUUGCCGGAGAACUGACCACCAGAUUUUGGGGACUGAGUUUUCGGUUUGUUGUUACCAUUGAAUGCAGGUUUACCAUUUUGCUUAGCAGAAGGGGUGGCUGGACCUUUCUUACCACCUGACUUGUUGUCGGGGGUUGCUUGUUUAGCUUUUUUGCCGGAGCCAGGAGCUACUUUAGGAGAUGGAGCUGGUCUCUUCUUCUGCUCAACCUUUUUAGGUGUCUCUUCUUCUGAAUCAUCAUCUUCCUCGGAAUCAUCAUCAUCCUCGGAAUCAUCAGAAAGAUCCAUCCCUUCUGGUCCAUCCAUGCCUAGAGGCACAUCAUCAGAGUCAUCUUCAGAAU